rnacentral:sRNA from 1 species
UUCAGCUUAUGGCUGAAUAUUGUUUCUAUUUAUAUGCAGAACAGGUAACGCUUAGACAGUUGCAGAACAAGCGUUACCACAACUCUGCUAAUGUGCCUGUACCCUGACCUGGAGGGAUCUUGCCCUGGGAUGAAAGGAUAGUUUCUUCUCCAUGCCCAUUCAGUCCUUGGGUUCU